rfam:Medicago truncatula strain A17 chromosome 7, whole genome shotgun sequence.
AAACAACCCCCUAUGUAUUGGAUCUUUGGCAGUUUUGGCAAGGCCACUUUUGACUUAGUCUUCACUGACGUGGCACCGACAAUGGUCGACACGUGGCACCCCACUUAAGGGAUGUGGGUGCGUCAGUGAAAACUAAGUCAAAAGUGGCCUUGAGGGUCAAAACUGCCAAAGAUAUAAUACAUAGGAGGCUGUUU